rnacentral:rRNA from 1 species
UCUACGGGAGGCAGCAGUGGGGGAUAUUGCACAAUGGGCGCAAGCCUGAUGCAGCGACGCCGCGUGAGUGAAGAAGUAUUUCGGUAUGUAAAGCUCUAUCAGCAGGGAAGAAAGGCCCUUUUAGGGAGAUGACGGUACCUGACUAAGAAGCCCCGGCUAACUACGUGCCAGCAGCCGCGGUAAUA